rnacentral:rRNA from 1 species
UAUCUCUGUAGAGUCUGCAUAUCAAUAAGCGGAGGAAAAGAAACUAACAAGGAUUCCCUAGUAACGGCGAGUGAAGCGGGAAGAGCUCAAAUUUGAAAUCUUAAAGGUUUUCCCUUGACGAAUUGUAGUUUAAAGAAGUGUUUUCUGUUGAAGUUUCGGUAAAAGUUCUUUGGAAUAGGACAUCAUAGAGGGUGAGAAUCCCGUAUUUGACCAGUUAUUUUCCAGCUGUGUGAUACACUUUCAAAGAGUCGGAUUGUUUGGGAAUGCAGUCCAAAAUGGGUGGUAAAUUUCAUCUAAAGCUAAAUACUGGCGAGAGACCGAUAGCGAACAAGUACCGUGAGGGAAAGAUGAAAAGAACUUUGAAAAGAGAGUUAAACAGUACGUGAAAUUGUCAAAAGGGAAGCGUUUGACACCAGUGUUGUUUUCUCGAAAAUCAAUUAAAAAUGGCAGGAUUUUGUGUUGUAUUGACUUUAUCAGCUUUCUGCACUUUUUUCUUGUCUUUUUUAAUGCACUUUUCGUUUAACAAGUCAACAUCAAUUUCUUUUGUUGUAAAAGGGUCAUUGGAAGGUGGCUUUCUUUUCGGAGAAAGUGUUUAUAGCCUUUGACUUCUGCAGUCGGAGAGAUUGAGGUCUGCAGCGUAGAUCCUUCGGGGUUAGAUGCAUUUGUGCUAAGUUAUAGCCUUUCAUAGACAACUUGUUGACUAUGAUCAGUCAUGUAGCUUACUCGCUUAUGUUAUUUUACCUACGCUUAGGAUGUUGAUCUCUCACAGUCGAGC